UUGGUUCCUUCAAGCUUAACUCAAGAAUGAGAACAAUUAAACAAAAAAAAAGCGGGGCAUACCAAAGUUCACAGAAACACACAAUUAAACUUCACAAUAAAGAUCCAUGCAAUUAACAAAACAAAAGUUUACGGUGAAACGAGAGCCACCAAAAGUACAACCAUAAUUAAAAAUACAAAACCAAUAAUAAUAAAAAAAACUAACAAAUAAAAAUCUAAUACUACUCAAACCAAAGUCUU
rnacentral:lncRNA from 1 species